rnacentral:tRNA from 1 species
CAUGGAGUAGCUCAGCGGCAGAGCCCCCGGCUUCGGACCGGGAGGGCGCAGGUUCGAAUCCUGCCUCCAUGU